rnacentral:rRNA from 1 species
AUUGAACGCUGGCGGCAGGCCUAACACAUGCAAGUCGAACGAGUGGCGGACGGGUGAGUAAUGUCUGGGAAACUGCCUGAUGGAGGGGGAUAACUACUGGAAACGGUAGCUAAUACCGCAUACCAUCGGAUGUGCCCAGAUGGGGUUAGCUAGUAGGUGGGGUAACGGCUCACCUAGGCGACGAUCCCUAGCUGGUCUGAGGGGAUGACCGGCCACACUGGAACUGAGACAGGGUCCAGACUCCUACGGGAGGCAGCAGGGGGGAAUAUUGCACAGUGGGCGCAAUCCUGAUGCAGCCCUGCCGCGUGUGUGAAGAAGGCCUUCGGGUUGUAAAGCACUUUCAGCGGGGAGGCGUUACCCGCAGAAGAAGCACCGGCUAACUCCGUGCCAGCAGCCGCGUAAUUC